rnacentral:SRP_RNA from 3 species
GCCUUAAGGCAAUAGUGUGCUUACGAAUUGUGUCAGGUCCGGAAGGAAGCAGCACUAAGUUUGAUUCACUUUGUGCCUUAAGUAAUU